ensembl:lncRNA
CCGCCCCGCUGCCGGCGUGCGGGAUCGGCUGUGCUGGGCGGCGGCGGCAGCGAGCGGAGCGGCGGAACCGGAGCUCCCCGGCUCCCAUCCCUCGGCGUGUGAGCGGCGACACGCGGACACCGCGCCCGGAGCCGGCGGAGCUGUGCCAGGAGCAGCCGUAAGUGUGCGGGGUGGGCACGGGGCCGUGGGACGCGCGGGGACACCUCCCCGAUGCCAGCACCGAGCGGCUCGGGGUCACGGGACGUCUCGGCAGCUCCUGCGGAGUCAGCGCGGAGCACGCAGAUGGGAUAGUUCUGUUGACUUUUUGCUGUCAUCGGUGAGUCAGCGGCAAGUCCCAGUCUGUAUGUCGGCAGGGAGGGGCCAGCCAGGAAAUCAGUCACAAAAAUGGAAAAAAAAAAAAAAAAAAAAAAAAAAAGAGGAGAAACCCCCGAGAAUUCGAGCCUUACUUGGUUGCUUUUUGAAGUUUACAUUUUGUUUGAGCGGUUGAUAAGAGCGCGUUAGUCAGCGCGGGGCGGGCUGCUCCUCGGCCUGCCCGCCCUCUGCCAGCGCGGCUCCGCACCGCUGCGACCCCCCGAC